rnacentral:rRNA from 1 species
UACAGGGGGGGCAAGCGUUGUUCGGAAUUACUGGGCGUAAAGGGUUCGUAGGUGGCCAACUAAGUCAGAUGUGUAGUCCCUCAGAUUAGCUGGGGAACUGCUUCUGAUACUGGUUGGCUUGAGUGCAGGAGAGGAAUGCGGAAUUCCAGGUGUAGCGGUGGAAUGCGUAGAUAUCUGGAGGAACACCGGUGGCGAAGGCGGCAUUCUGGACUGUAACUGACACUGAGGAACGAAAGCCAGGGGAGCAAACGGG